CAGCAGCCACGGUAAUACGAAGGGGGCUAGCGUUGUUCGGAAUUACUAGGCGUAAAGCGCACGUAGGCGGAUAUUUAAGUCAGGGGUGAAAUCCCGCAGCUCAACUGCGGAACUGCCUUUGAUACUGGGUAUCUUGAGUAUGGAAGAGGUUAGUGGAAUUGCGAGUGUAGAGGUGAAAUUCGUAGAUAUUCGCAGGAACACCAGUGGCGAAGGCGGCUAACUGGUCCAUAACUGACGCUGAGGUGCGAAAGCUAGAGGAGCAAACAGGAUUAGAUACCCCGGUAGUCCCUGUCUCUUAUAC
rnacentral:rRNA from 1 species